CAAAAAUGUAAUUAUUCACAAACACACAUUAUAAAUAACCUUUACAUGGCAAUACAAGUGAAUAUCUUUUUUCUCCCAACUUUAUUUGAUAGACUUUGAUGAAGUUUUUUGUUAGACUAAUUUACUAGAACAAGCAUGAGAAGUUUGAUUCGUGAACGAGAGCUUGAGGUUCACGGUUUUGUUAGUUUGGGUCUGAAACUCUAUGGAAUUCGAAAAUCUCCUUUGCAGUCCCAAAAAUGCAUUUUAGCUAAU